ACGGUCCUCAAAAAGGAGUAAAACCAAUACUGUUUACCGGGUAGUUCUGAAUAAUUGUAGCAUUUUUUCUAUGUCAACAUAUCUUAGAUUGUGGUUUGAAUUUUUAAAUCUUACUGUAUGAGGAAAGACCAUUACUGACAAUGCGUCGCUUUGUAGUUUGGAACAUCUGGUUGUAUCUAAUUACUAAAUGUUUUGUUCAUUAUCGCAGAUACUACUUCUGCAAAGUUACAAUUGUUGUGUCCGUAACUGCAUUGUUUCCUCUCCGGCAUGCCUUUUCAAUUAUCAUACAUCAUUACGAGAUAAUCUGUUUCAUUGUCUGAAUGUUUUGGUUGGUCUAGAUGUCUCUGAUUACAAAAUACAUUUCAUCAGUUUGUUUAUUUAGUCACUUUCCUGGCUAUUGUUUUCGUUAAUUGCCAAAGUAAACAUUGGUUGUCAAGAAAAUGUACGAAGGUCGAAAACAUGCUGUUAUUACAAAGGUUAUGUUAAGGGUUCGUUUGUGUCAAGCAGUGGUUUUUAGCUAGUCCCUUACUUCACGGCUUUAUCUUUUUCUUUUUUUUUUGUUAUUUAUGUUACGUCUUUUUAUUUGUUUUUUUAUAAAAUAUGUCAAAGAGUUUUACCCGAAGUCGUUUUUAUUUUUGGUUUAGGACCUAAUGAUAUUGCGAUCAUUAUUCCACUUGUGAUAUCCGUCGUAUCUUGAGGGAGGAAGGACCUUUUUCGGGACGUCAAGGUUACGCCUUUUUUUGCGUGAAUUGGGAUAUACACUUGUUGGA
rnacentral:lncRNA from 1 species